rnacentral:misc_RNA from 1 species
AUGAAAUGUCAAGAGGGGUUGUUGCUGGCCUUGCGGGGCAUGUGCACACCUUGAUUGCUCAUCCUCUCACACCUGUGCACUACCUGUAGCUUGGGAUGAUUACGAAGUCGGAAACGGCGUCGAAAGCCCUCGCUAUGAAUUUUUUUAUACACACACACAAAGUUAUAGAAUGUACAAAGUUAUAGCGUGUAACAGCGCGAAUAAAUA